UGAGACUCCGCCUCCUGCAGCUCUGUCUCUAGUUGUUUCUUGAACGUAAGAGUCUGAGCUCUCUGAGUCUUCUCCUCUUCAAGCAUUACUUCCAGCUCUCGUACCUGAACGAGAUCCAAGAGAUUGACUCUGAGGGCUUGAAGCAUAACCUCCAGUCUCAGACGAGCAUUCUCUGCCUCUGUCAGCUCAUCCUCCAGCUCCUGGGUCUGUUCUUUCAGAGACUGGGCUUCUGUUUCCAAAGCCCGUCGGGAACGCUCAAGCUCAAGAACCUGAGGAGGCUUCCUCUCAGCUCUGUGACGAGUAAGCCGAGGUCAGACAGCUGCUCUUGUGCGUCCACUGCUUCUCCCUCCAUCCGUCUCUUCCACUUCUCCUGCUCCAGACGACCCUGCUCUUCCCUCUUCAGACGCUCUAAUGGAAGAUAAUGCAAUAGUGACUUUCUCCAGCUGGAGGCGCUGGCGUGUCCCCUCCUCCUCUUCGAGCUGCUCUUCCAGAUCCUUGAGAGGAAACACAGAGAUGUUGACAGAAGGCAUUCAUCCUGGACAUGAGACACUCCACACUGACUGAAAC